UAUGUACAAAUAAAUUAAUAUAAAAGAACGUUGAUAAGUUCAUGAUAAAAAAUAAUAAAAUAAAUAAAUAAAUAAGUAAAAUAAAAAUUUAUUUUUUUAUUUUUCAUUUACAAUGAAAUAAAAAAAAAAAAAAAAAAAUUAACAUAGUAUAACACAUGAAUAUAUAUAUAUAUAUAUAUAUAUAUAUACCACUUGUAAGUUCACAUAUAUAUAUUUAUAUAUUAUGUUUAGUUAAUAUACUGAUAUAUUCGUACACACUUUUGCAUAUAUAAAUACCACUUAAUAGUUAUAAACGAUUUAUAUUUAUAAUAAAUUGUAUUUUUUUUUUUUUUUUACUUUUUAGGUUUUACUUUUUGUUUAUUUUGAGCUGGUUUGUUUGGUGUUUUAUUAUUUUUUUGCUUUGUCAGUUUUUGGCUUGUCAGUUUUUGGCUUGUCAGUUUUUGCUUUGUCAUUUUUUUGGCUUGUCAGUUUUUGCUUUGUCAGAUUUUGGCUUGUCAGUUUUUUCCUUAUUUAUUUUUUUUUUAGCAAUUUUAUUUUUUUUAUCUUUUUUGGUUUUGAGUUUUGAAAUAGUUUUAAUAGUUUUUUUUUUUUUUUUUUUUUUUUUUUUUUUUUUUUUUUUUUUUUUUUUUUGAGAAUAUUUUGAAAUACCAAUGUUGAUCGAUAAUAACAUAAAAAACUACGUUAGCCGUUAAAUAUUGUACAAAGGGCUUAAGCACUCCCAACUGUUUCGUAUGCACAUAAAUAUAUAUAUAUUUAAUGUAUGUGAGUACAUACGUACAUAAUUUGAUACAUUUAAAUAUAUAACAAAAAAAAAAAAAAAAAAAAAAAAUUAACCCUUUUAUAUUUAAAUAAAAAAAAUAUAAUACAUAUGAUAAAAAAAAAA
rnacentral:lncRNA from 1 species